GCCACAGAAUACAGUGGGGGAAAUAACCACAGUCAAGUCAAAAGAAUCACCGGCGGCCAUUGACAGCCGAAAUAUUCCCCAAAAAAAUCACACCUUUUUUUUGUUCUUUCAUUCCACCGACAUCCUCGUAUCUCAACCCUAAAUUAUCCAAUGAAUGCUCCGAUCUUUGAUUUCUACCCGUGAUAAUGUCGAAGCCCCUGUUUCUUGUUAUUCUGCUGGUGAUACUCAUAAUUACGUCUCAGUUUGAGUGGAAACAGCAGUUUGUGAACGAAAUGGAAGCUAACCCUAGCAUUUUGCAGAAGCAGGAGGCUAAUUUGAGAAGAGGAGAGGUCGUCAAAGAGAAAAUAAUUUUAUCUCAAGAGAAGAACAUUCAAAAACUUAAUGAGCUUGUUCAAAGCCUACAGCAGCAAUUGCUGCAAUGCCGAGAAAUAAAAAACACGAGCGUGGAGAGGUUCUCGCCAUCAUGUGUGCACGAUAGUGGGAGGUGGCUCGAGGUGAGCGCCGAUGAAAGGCCACAAACUAUAAGCUGAUGUUAUCUUCUGUUAUAAAUGCAAGAUCGGCGGUAUCUUCUUCUCUGUCUUUCUAUCUCCUGUAGCAUUCGGUGAGAUGCCUAAUACAUCUCCAGGAGAUAAAUGUUGCUGUUUACGCAAACGUACCAGCUUAGCUCAGUGGCAUAACAGCGUGCGUCAUUUCUUGACACGAAAACUUCGGUUGCAUGCUGAGACGAGUUCGUAGGAGCUAGUUCUUGUAAAUUUUACAUCGUCACACCUCAUAAAUUUAGGUAGAAAACCAAGAGGAAAUGCAUUAUUAACACGGCUUCUGUACUAAGAGAAAUUGAUGGGCAUUGAAAGGAGACGUAGGAAGUUGGGGCGCAAUAUUAUUUACGCAUAGUAGCGAUGGCCCAUAGAUAAAAGCAGAGCAGAGGAAGGCAUCUCUUUUGCUUUAAAACACCACCACCACCACCACCACCUCCUCCUCCCCCUCCUUUAUCACCCAUAAAGAUUGAAAUGAAAGGAGACUCUUGAAUGAAAAUCUUAAAUGGACUUGGUUGGCAUCGACUACUGCUCUCUUUCAUUAUAAUCAGGUGUUGAUGACUUGACGCUGCUCGUAUCAAGGUAACUGCUCACAUUGAUAGUGGAAGCUGCUUGUUUAAUGAGUCCAGAGAGACUUGGGCCAGUGUCCAUUUACUUGGCUGAGUUUAGGGUUGUAGUCCCUUAAAUGGGAAGAUAUCAACUUGGUUGAAUUUAGUGUUGCGCUCACAUUUCCUCUCCCCCCUUCUCUCUCUCUCUUUUCAUCUUAUUAAUGAAUAUCAGUGGCAUUAAGAUCCCAACCAAACAGUCCAGCAUCGAGUUUGGGGGCAAGGAUUCUCAAUGAGCUGAGCAGAUUUUUACUACUUGUACUAAUAUGGGGUCAUAUUUUCUUCCCAAUAUAUAAAUGAUCUUGGAAGUUCAACAUUGUUAAUGUGUUUGCUUUUAGGGGUCUAAAAUUUGAAGCCACUUAUUA